CCUACGGGAGGCAGCAGUGGGGAAUAUUGCACAAUGGGGGGAACCCUGAUGCAGCAACGCCGCGUGGGUGAAGAAGUACUUCGGUAUGUAAAGCCCUGUCAGCAGGGAAGAAAAUGACGGUACCUGACCAAGAAGCCCCGGCUAACUACGUGCCAGCAGCCGCGGUAAUACGUAGGGGGCAAGCGUUAUCCGGAUUUACUGGGUGUAAAGGGAGCGUAGACGGCAAGGCAAGUCUGGAGUGAAAGCCCGUGGCUCAACCACGGGACUGCUUUGGAAACUGUGUUGCUGGAGUGCAGGAGGGGUAAGCGGAAUUCCUAGUGUAGCGGUGAAAUGCGUAGAUAUUAGGAGGAACACCGGUGGCGAGGGCGGCUUACUGGACUGUAACUGACGUGGAGGCUCGAAGGCGUGGGGAGCAAACAGGAUUAGAUACCCCGGUAGUC
rnacentral:rRNA from 1 species